AAAUGUGAGACUGCGGACGGCUCAGUAAAUCAGUUAUAAUCUGCUCGAUUGUUAAGGGUUAUUGGAUAACCGUGGGAAAUCUAGAGCUAAUACAUGUAAUAAAGGAGGAGAGAAAUCGAAUCUGAUGGCAUUUAUUAGACAAUUACCAAUCGUAGGGUAAAACCUAUGUGGUGAAUCUAGAUAACUUUGCAGAUCGUAUGGCCAAGAGCUGACGACAUUUCGAUUGAAUUUCUGCCCUAUCAACUAUUGUCGGUAGUGUAGUGGACUACCGAGGUUUUUACGGGUGACGGGGGAUCAGGGUUCGAUUCCGGAGAGGGAGCCUGAGAAACGGCUACCACAUCCAAGGAAGGCAGCAGGCGCGCAAAUUACCCAAUCCAGACAAUGGGAGGUGGUGACGAAAAGUACCGGAUGACGAUCAAUGAUUGUCAAUUCGGAAUGGAAUCAAUUUAAGCAAUUGGUUGAGAAACGACUGGAGGGCAAGUCUGGUGCCAGCAGCCGCGGUAAUUCCAGCUCCAGUAGCGUAUCUCAAAGUUGCUGCGCUUAAAACGCUCGUAGUUGGAUCACAAACUAUGCAACGGUUGAUAUGACGGUAAGUCAAAAAUGAAGAUUUGGCAGUAUGUCAUCAUAUUGUUGAUGAUUCAUCUGGGUUAUCGUGAUAUCAUAAGCUGGGGUGUAGUAAUUGCAUGUGAGGAUAGAUAUUGGCCUUGAGUGAGCUGAUGUUUGUGUCUCGCAGAGUGUGCCUUGAGUAAAUCAGAGUGCUUAAAGCAGGCUUGACGCUUGAAUGUUAUAGCAUGGAACGAACAAUCGUGUAUGGUGUAUAUUGGGUAUUGAUUGGUAGACUCGUUUAUCAAUCAUCAAUGUACGACACCGACCACCAAUGAACGGAUGUUGGUUCCGUCAUGGGGUAUCGAUUAAGAGGAGCGGUUGGGGGCAUUGGUAUUUGGCAGCGAGAGGUGAAAUUCUUGGACCUGUCAAGGACUAACAAAUGCGAAGGCAUCUGUCCAGACCGUAUCCAUUAAUCAAGAACGAUAGUGAGAGGUUCGAAGACGAUCAGAUACCGUCCUAGUUCUCACCGUAAACUAUGCCGACCCGGGAUCAGUUUGGAGCUUUGUUCCAUGCUCGGAGUUGGUCCCCCUGGGAAACCUAAAGUUUUUCGGUUGCGGGGGGAGUAUGGUCGCAAGGCUGAAACUUAAAGGAAUUGACGGAAGGGCACCACCAGGGGUGGAGCCUGCGGCUUAAUUUGACUCAACACGGGAAAACUUACCUGGUCCGAACAUCCGAAGGAUACACAGACUAAUAGAUCUUUGUUGAUGGGGUGAAAAGUGGUGCAUGGCCGUUCUUAGUUCGUGGAGUGAUCUGUCAGGCCAAUCCCGGUAACGAACGAGACUACAUUCUCCAUUUGACGAAUUAGAGAAGACCGGUUAUGAGCAGUUGGCGACAAUUGUUAUGUAAUUUGGUUGUGGGAAGUAUGAGCGACGUUGUUCGGAGACCAAUUGUGGCAACAUGGUUGGAGGAAGGCUGCUAGCUUAUACUCCCUCUGGUUUAGCAAUGUACAGUGUACGUUGUAUCAUGGAGAGACAGCGGAAUAUAUUACAAAAUCCGAGGAAGUGUAGCUAUAACAGGUCCGUGAUGCCCUUAGAUGUUCAGGGCUGCACGCGCGCUACAAUGAUGGCAACAACGAGUUUCUAAAUCGAAAGAUUUGGGUAAUCUUGCAAUUGUCAUCGUGAUGGGGAUCGACGUUUGUAAAUACGUCGUGAAAGAGGAAUCCCUAGUACGUGCGAUUCAUGCAGAUCGCGCGGAUUGCGUCCCUGCCCUUUGUACACACCGCCCGUCGCUACUACCGAGUGAAUGGUGUCAUAAUACCUUGGGAGCGGACGUUAC
rnacentral:rRNA from 1 species